rnacentral:pre_miRNA from 1 species
GGCCACCCUCUGUGGGGUGAUCGAUGACGGGGUGGGGGGGUUCCAUGAUUGAUCGCCCUGCAGAGGGAGGCC